rnacentral:tRNA from 1 species
GCCUAGGUAGUUGAGUCAGUUAAGCAUCUGACUCAUGAUUUUGGCUCAGUUCAUGAUCUCACGAUUUGUGGGUUCGAGCCCCACAUUGGGCU